UAGUUAUAUUCUUUAAACUUAAAGAAUUUGGCGGUGUUAUUGGUCUAUUUAGAGGAAUUUGCCCCUUAAUCGAUAGUCCUCGUUAUAUCUUGCUUUAUUUUGUAUUCAAUAUGUAUAUCGUUGUUAUAGUUUAUUUUUAUAGAAUAAAAAUUUACUUUAAUUAUUAUUUUAAUUUAUUUCAAAUCAAGGUGCAGUUUAUAAUAAAGUGGAGGUGAAUUACAUUAUUGUUGUAUAAACGGAUUUAAUUAUUUUAAAAUUUUAAUGAAGGCGGAUUUAAUAGUAAUUUUAAUUAUAAUGUUAAUUUGAUUAUAGUUCUGUAAUAAGUACACAUCGCCCGGUCGCUCUA
rnacentral:rRNA from 1 species